rnacentral:lncRNA from 10 species
GGAAGCCAUGUCCAAAUCAUUUCACUAACAUCACCAGAACCCACUUUACUUUAAGCCCUUGGUAAAGGCGAAAUGGGUUUCUUUAUAAAACUUAUAAACCUCAAUCACCACAAAUAGCGACACAAGAAAUGACAAGAAAUGUGGUUUAGAUUAUCCGCAUCCCGGUGAGAGUUUCAGAGUGUCACCUGCUGAAUGGAAGAUGUUAACAGAAAAAGAGUAAUGAAGACAUCAAAUUACGAAUAAUUUUCUGAAACCAGCAAUGCAAUCAAUAAGAUGCAAAGGUCGUAAGGAACAUGCAGAAGCAUUCUACAAGUACGGUAACAAUAUUUAUUUUAAAUCAUGGAACAAAUUAGUAUUUGCAAUUAGGUUAGAGGUAAUAUACCUCAAAAUUCGAAAUGGAAAUGCAGUCAAAUGGUAAACAGAGAUGAUAAACUUUCCAUCAUCUCCUCUAUUGUCUUUUUUCCAAUGCAAGAUAAGUAUAAUGCCAGAAAACUGAAGAUUAUAUUUUUCUCUGGGGAUUAUUUUUGUUUCUCAAAAUUUUUUAUUGUAUCAUGAUAUAAUAAAACAUAAUACCUAAUCCCUCAUCCUGUAUGUAUUUUCUCACAAAUAAAUAAAAAGAAAAAUAAGUCAACAAAACAUAUAAAAAUGUACAACAUAAAAGCUCCUUUGAAUGAAGGACUGACACUAUGUUUUUUUUUUUACUCCAGAUCCACAAGCUGAUGUCUACACACAAAGUUACACAUUUUUAAAAAUUUUAUUUUAGAUUCAGAGGCUACAUGCACUUGUUUGUUACAUGGGUAUAUUGUGUAAUGGUGAGGACUGAACUUCUAGUGUACCCAUCACCCAAAUAGUAAGCAUUGUGCCCAAUAGGUAAUUUUUCAACUCUCACCCCUCUCCACCUCUCCCUGCUUUUGGAGUCCCCAGUGUCUAUUAUUUCUAUCUUUAUGUCCAUACGUACCCAAUGUUUCAUUCCCGCGUAUAAGUGAAAACACGUAGUACUUGAUUUUCUGUUUCUGCAUUAGUUCACUUAGGAUAAUGGCCUCCAACUGUAUCCAUGUUGCUGCAAAGAGGCUGAUUUCAUUCUUUUUUAUGGUAGCAUAGGAUUCCAUGGUGUGUGUGUGUGUGUGUGUGUGUGUGUGUGUGUACAUGGUGUAUAUAGAUAUAUAGAUACAUUUCACCUUUUCUUUAUUCAAUCAAUCAUUGAUGGACACAGGUUGGUUUCCUGACUUUGCUAUUGUGAAUAGUGCUGCAAUAAACAUAGCAUGCAGGUGUCUUUUUUAUAAAAAGAUUUUUUUUUCCUUUGGGUAGAUUUCUAGAAGUGAGAUUGUGAGGUCGAAUGGGAGUUCUAUUUUUAGUUCCUUGAGAUAUCUCCAUACUGAUUUCCAUACAGGUUGAACUAAUUUACAUUCUCACCAGCAGUGUAUAUGAUUUCCUUUUCUACAAUCCACACCAACAUCUGUUGGUUUUUGGCUUUUUAAUGUUAGCCAUUCUGACUGAUGUAAGACAAUAUCUCAAUGUGGUUUUAAUUUGCAUUUCCCUGAUGAUUACUGAUGUUGAGCAUUUUUCAAGAUCAAAAGAGUAGAAUAAAGAGCCCAGAAAUAAAGCUACAUACUUAGAACCAACUGAUCUUUGCAAAGUCGACAAAAAUAAGGAAUGAGGAAAGGACACCCUCUUCAAUAAAGGGUUCUGGGAAAAUUGACUACCCAUAUGAAGAAAAAUGAAACUGUAUUCCUAUCUCUCACCAUGUACAGAAAUGAACUCAAAGUUAAUUAAAGACUUAAAUGUGAAAUCUCAAACUAUAGAAAUCCAAGAAGAAAACCUAGGAAAAACUUUUCUGGACAUAGGAUUAAGCGAAGAGUUUAUGAUAAAUAUCCCAAAAGUAAAUACAACAAAAGCAAAAAAAAAAAAAAAAAAAAAAAAAACUUAAACUAAAAAGCUUCUGCAAAGAAAAAUAAAUAAUCAAGAGACAACCUACUGAAUGGGAGAAAAUAUUUGCAAGUUAUGCCUCUAACAAAGGACUAAUAACUAGAAUCUACAAGGGACUCAAUCAACUCAACAACAACAACAGCAAAAACCAAACAACCCCAUUAAAAACUGACAAAGGGCGUGAACAGAAAUUUCCUUUCUCUCAAAAGAAAUACAGGCGGCAAAAACACAUGCAAAGUUACACAUUUGAAACAGAGGCCAAGGCAAACCUCUCCUGAGAGUUGCCCUUAACUGAUUAAACCAAUAAACUAUUACACUCAGCAUUCGAUCUACUAGUUAGACUGCAGAUCAAAUGAUAAGUACAAUAAUUAACAGGAUCAUGACUGUUCUAGUUUGAGUGCUCCGGUAACAUAUUCUAAUUCAGCUGUUCUGUGUCUGGGUCUAAUGACAUUGCCAUGCCCCCGUCACUUCUCAGAAUUGUUGCACGUAGCUUAUUACCAAUACCAGUUAACAAAGCAAACAAAACCAAACACUGUCUAUGUUUUGUUUAAAACGCUUAAGAGUAGAGUGGGUUCAGAGUUAUCACUAAAUACUUUUUCUAUCCACCUCUUAUAUUUCUUUGUGAUUUUAUGCAUGCAGAGGAGUGAAAUAACAGCUACUGGUUCAGGAAUUUUGAUUAUUAGAAUUUUAUUUCUCCUGCGCAUUAUGGAGAAGAAAUGGUGAAAGCAACUGUGAUAAUGUAUGCUUACCCCUUCCCUUUCUUCAUCUUUUCUAUCUUGCUCCACCAUGCUGAAAAAAGUAGCUAAUCCUCUUUUCCAAUGCAACAAUAAAAUGCUAAAACAGCCAUCAAAUGUACACCACUGGUUUCUCAUUUUUUCAAAUAUAUAUGACAAUAUUUAAUUGAUUUACUGCAUAGGUGGUUAUUUCAAGAUAUUUUCAAAUUUUGAAUAUAAAUUUUAUAUUUAGGAUAUAUAUGUAUGGAGAGAGAGGGAAUUAUAAAAUAAAUAAUUAGGUUCAACAGUUGAGACUUCUAAUGUAUUUUGGUGUGCACUAGGAAUAAAUCAUGGCGUUUACAUUAUUUUUUUUACAUGAUCUUUUGCCUGUCUCUUACUGGGCUAGAAUAUUCAGG